UUGAGCAGGGGGUUGGACUAGAUGACCUCCUGGGGUCUCUUCCAACCCUAAUCUUCUUUGAUUCUAUGAAAGCUCCCGUACCUCAUGUGCAUAAUGGAAUUGUGCUCCAUAAGGGCUCCCUGAACAGAGGAUCUCAUAGCAGGGCUGGCAGAUCUGCAGUAGUAUGAAUCUGACAACCUCUGCAGGGGUGCUGGGCUAUGUGCAAGGGGCUAUUGGAGCAUUGUAAAAUUACAAUUUAAAAAUAGUUUAAGUGACUGAUCUUUAGUGCCAGGCAUUACAUUUCAACUACAUGUAAACUGUUCUCAGUAGCCACAUGUUUUUUGUUACCCAGUAUUUUUUAGGGUGCCAUGGAACCCCUUGUUCAAUUCACUUCAAAUUUGAUAGAAAAGUUCUACCUCUGCUCCAGGAAGCUCCAGGCUUAAUCAGGGCGGAGUAAGCAGAGUCGAUGGGGGAGGCGCCGCGGUCGACGCGCCGCCAUGAGGACCGCCAGGUAAGUGGAACUAAGAUACUUGGACUUUAGCUAUGCUAUUCACGUAGCUGAAGUUGCGUAUCUUAGUUCGAAUUCCCCCCCUAGUGUAGCCCAGGCCUGACAUUCAGGCAGAUACUUCUUUAUUUGUGUAGUAGAGAGGGAGUGCCAACGUUGGGUUUAAAUUGGAAAUACAGUUAUGCAUCGUCGACUGUGGAAUGGUUAGUACUGCUCCAUAACAGUUCUAGUCAGCCAAACUAAAUAGUCCACAUAAGUUCCCCUUAUGCUGUGUGUAAAUGUAAGAGAUACAGGUGAACCACUAGAAAGAGACUGUUACAGCUCCUCUUGGGAUAAGACAGUAUUUGCUGGGGGGUGGGAGUUUUUUGUUUUUGUUUUUAUUUUUUUGUAUUUUUAAAAGAAUAACCAAAGUUGUUGAAUAUAAAAUCCAGGGGAAAAAAAUAAAAACAGUUUUUGAAAAUUUGA